AGACAUGAUGCCGUUGGACUAUUUGUACCCUGGAUUACAGCUUGCAUGCCAUUACGCUCUUUCGUACACGCUUGCGGGGGUCGCGCCCCCCAAGCCCAGCACUCCGAAGUUGCUUAGCGACAGAUGCUCGCCUAUGUACGAAGUGAGCGCCGAAGUGGAUUGCCGUGGGGAGUGUACACUACCACGGGGCCAUUAGGCACCGCGCGGCUAUGACUUUACCUUUUGUGUAAGUCAA
rnacentral:lncRNA from 1 species